rnacentral:tRNA from 2 species
AAAAAUUUAGUUAAUAAAUAACAUUAACUUGUCAAGUUAAAAUAAUUAAAAAUUUAAUAAUUUUUA